GACGAACGCUGGCGGCGUGCUUAACACAUGCAAGUCGAACGAAGAGCGACGGAAGCUUGCUUCUAUCAAUCUUAGUGGCGAACGGGUGAGUAACGCGUAAUCAACCUGCCCUUCAGAGGGGGACAACAGUUGGAAACGACUGCUAAUACCGCAUACGAUCUAAUCUCGGCAUCGAGGAUGGAUGAAAGGUGGCCUCUACAUGUAAGCUAUCACUGAAGGAGGGGAUUGCGUCUGAUUAGCUAGUUGGAGGGGUAACGGCCCACCAAGGCGAUGAUCAGUAGCCGGUCUGAGAGGAUGAGCGGCCACAUUGGGACUGAGACACGGCCCAGACUCCUACGGGAGGCAGCAGUGGGGAAUCUUCCGCAAUGGACGAAAGUCUGACGGAGCAACGCCGCGUGAGUGAUGACGGCCUUCGGGUUGUAAAGCUCUGUUAAUCGGGACGAAAGGCCUUCUUGCGAAUAGUGAGAAGGAUUGACGGUACCGGAAUAGAAAGCCACGGCUAACUACGUG
rnacentral:rRNA from 1 species